rnacentral:lncRNA from 1 species
GCCUUUUGCAAUGAUAUGGCUUUCUUUUAUACGGCAUUUUUUUUUUUUUGGAUGCGAUGAUGGCUUUCCCUGGACUGACAGAAAAAAAAAGAAAAAAAAGGGAGGGGUAAAUAUUGAAAAAUAGUGAUAUAGAAUAUUGAAAAAUAGUAAAAUGGAUAGCAACUAGCAACUUUUAGAUUGGACCUGAGCGCAGCGUCUGAAGCGCGUUUCGUCGGCGCCUUCGCUUGCCGUUGAUUCCUGGGUGGAGACAAAAACACUUAUCUCUCUUUCUCCGCCCGAUUAGCUCUCCCUUCAAAUUUAUAGACGACAGGAGAGAAAGGAAACGGCAGCGGAAGGCAACCGGCCAACUCCCCAAUCCUAACGCGCCCCC